rnacentral:rRNA from 1 species
UACGGAGGGGGCGAGCGUUGUUCGGAAUCACUGGGCGUAAAGCGUGCGUAGGCGGUUAUACAAGUCAGAAGUGAAAUCCCAGGGCUUAACCCUGGAAUUGCUUUUGAGACUGUAUGACUAGAGAUCUAGAGAGGUUGGGGGAAUUCCGAGUGUAGAGGUGAAAUUCGCAGAUAUUCGGAGGAACACCAGUGGCGUAGGCGCCCAACUGGCUAGAUACUGACGCUGAGGCACGAAAGCGUGGGGAGCAAAC